AGAAUCAACGCUGGCGGCGUGCCUAACACAUGCAAGUCGCACGAGAAAGGGGAGCAAUCCCUGAGUACGGUGGCGCACGGGUGAGUAACACGUGAAUCAUCUACCUCCGAGUGGGGAAUAACUGAGAGAAAUCUUAGCUAAUACCGCAUAAUACCCACGGGUCAAAGCAGCAAUGCGCUUGGAGAGGAGUUCGCGGCAGAUUAGUUAGUUGGCGGGGUAAUGGCCCACCAAGACGAUGAUCUGUAUCCGGCCUGAGAGGGCGCACGGACACACUGGAACUGAAACACGGUCCAGACUCCUACGGGAGGCAGCAGUGGGGAAUUUUGCGCAAUGGGGGAAACCCUGACGCAGCAACGCCGCGUGGAGGAUGAAGCCCCUUGGGGUGUAAACUCCUUUCGAUCGGGAAGAUAAUGACGGUACCGAUAUAAGAAGCCCGGCUAACUUCGUGCCAGCAGCCGC
rnacentral:rRNA from 1 species